rnacentral:lncRNA from 1 species
CCUCCCCUUCCUUCCUCACUCACAGCUGAGGGCUUUGUUACCUACUUUACCCAGAAGGUGAAGGACUUCAUCUCCUCUUUUACCCCUGCCACCAUCCUCCCUCCCCAUAUCCCUACAUGUUUUACCCACCUUGUCCCUCUCACCUCCGAAGAUGUCAACAGAGUAGUUUUGUCUGACCACGCCACCGCUGGACCCGAUCCCCUCCUCACUCCUCCAGGCUCCUGUGGCUGCUGAUGGUCAACAGAUGUGGUUAAUCAGUAAUCGAUGGAACUGGAGUGAACAAUCCUUUAAAAGAACCACCGUUACUUCUGAGAGGUAUUUAGUUUACAGGGCCUGGCAAUUGGUUUGUAGAGCAAAACCCAGCAACACCUGAAAAAAAACGACAUGCAUGUUCCUUGUUCAAUCUCUUUGAGGUCAACCUGGAUAUUGUGUCUGAUUGGGUGUAUAUUAUCGCUACCAGUAGAUAAAGGUUUUGGCUCAAACAAUCCUUCACCAGCAUGGAGUGACUUCAGCAGUCCUCGCUCUACUUAUCCUGUUGGUCAAGCCGGCUCGGUGUAUACUUAUGGCAGCACACCGCAAGAUUACAUUGGAAGAGCGCCUUCCACUUGGUCCCAGCAGAACAGUGACUCAAAGGCUGAUGACGGGGUCUACUCAAAUGAUGGCUCCAAUAUGGAUGCUGGCGACUCUGGCUGGGCCAAGAGCGGUGCGAUGGACUCUGGUAGUGAUGCUCAGUACCCUGUUCCUGAAGGCUACCCUGAGGAGCUUGUCGCCCCCAUGGACCAGGAGCUGGAGGAACCUGAGGAAGAGCCCGUGUUGAGCGACGUCUCUGACCUGGAGCCGGUCUACCACUUCAGUUCCGGGUCACGCUACCAGCAAGGCAGACAGGCCUUCUUCCUAACCAGAUACAACCCCGGAGAGCCUAUGGUCGCCUCUGCUGACGCGUUGGUCUCUAACAGUUAUGGAAUGGGAAAUGGUGAGGGAGGGCCAGCUGAUCCAAGACAGCCUGGGAAGGGUGACUACUGAUCAACUGCAAUGUCUUUCAUUUCUAAUGGCUGUAUAUGAAUAAAUCUUUGCUUUCGGAAUUAGUUUCCUUUGCUUUAAUACAGGUUGCCAAGUUUAGCAUUGCUAAGAUGUGCAUGAAGCACUGUGCUUUGGUGUCCAUUGAACAAACAUUAUCCUGGAUCCAACUCCUUGGGUAUUGCAAGUACCCAAGGAGAACCAACUUGACCUUAUAUUCACGAGGUCCUGCGGUAACUCUGCUCUC